CCUACGGGCGGCAGCAGUAGGGAAUCUUCCACAAUGGGCGAAAGCCUGAUGGAGCAACGCCGCGUGGGUGAUGAAGGUCUUCGGAUCGUAAAACUCUGUUGUUAGAGAAGAAAGUGCGUGAGAGUAACUGUUCACGUUUUGACGGUACCUAACCAGAAAGCCACGGCUAACUACGUGCCAGCAGCCGCGGUAAUACGUAGGUGGCAAGCGUUAUCCGGAUUUAUUGGGCGUAAAGGGGGCGCAGGCGGUUGUUUAAGUCUGAUGUGAAAGCCUUCGGCUUAACCGGGGAAGGGCAUUGGAAACUGGGAGACUUGAGUGCAGAAGAGGAGAGUGGAACUCCAUGUGUAGCGGUGAAAUGCGUAGAUAUAUGGAAGAACACCAGUGGCGAAGGCGGCUCUCUGGUCUGUAACUGACGCUGAGGUGCGAAAGCGUGGGGAGCAAACAGGAUUAGAUACCCUUGUAGUC
rnacentral:rRNA from 1 species